rnacentral:rRNA from 1 species
UACGUAGGAUGCAAGCGUUGUCCGGAAUUAUUGGGCGUAAAGAGCGAGCAGGCGGUCUGUCAAGUCAGAUGUGAAAUAUCCCGGCUUAACCGGGAGGGGCCAUUUGAAACUGGCAGACUAGAGUGGAGCAGAGGAUAGUGGAAUUCCCGGUGUAGUGGUGAAAUGCGUAGAUAUCUGGAGGAACACCGGUGGCGAAGGCGGCAUCCUGGACCGGCAUUGACGCUGAGGCGCGAAAAGCGUGGGGGAGCAAACAGG